CACUAUCACGUUUAAACUACGGGUUUCCAUUGGAUCUCUGAAGUUAAGCAAUAUCGAGUCUAAUCAGUACCAAGAUGCGUGACCGCUUGAGAAUAUCUGGUGCUGUAAGC